GACGAACGCUGGCGGCGUGCUUAACACAUGCAAGUCGAACGAAGUGGCGAACGGGUGAGUAACGCGUAAUCAACCUGCCCUUCAGAGGGGGACAACAGUUGGAAACGACUGCUAAUACCGCAUACUGAAGGAGGGGAUUGCGUCUGAUUUGCAAGUGGGGGGGGUAACGGCCCACCAAGGCGAGGAGCAGUAGCCGGUCUGAGAGGAGGAACGGCACCAUUGGGACUGAGACCCGGCCCAGACUCCUACGGGAGGCAGCAGUGGGUAAUCUUCCGCAAUGGACGAAAGUCUGACGGAGCAACGCCGCGUGAGUGAUGACGGCCUUCGGGUGGUAAAGCUCUGUUAAUCGGGACGCGGUACCGGAAUAGAAAGCCACGGCUAACUACGUGCCAGCAGCCGCGGUAAUUC
rnacentral:rRNA from 1 species